CCUACGGGAGGCAGCAGUGGGGAAUAUUGGGCAAUGGGCGCAAGCCUGACCCAGCAACGCCGCGUGAAGGAAGAAGGCUUUCGGGUUGUAAACUUCUUUUGACAGGGAAGAGUAGAAGACGGUACCUGUCGAAUAAGCCACGGCUAACUACGUGCCAGCAGCCGCGGUAAUACGUAGGUGGCAAGCGUUAUCCGGAUUACUGGGUGUAAAGGGCGUGUAGGCGGGACUGCAAGUCAGAUGUGAAAACCAUGGGCUCAACCUAUGGCCUGCAUUUGAAACUGUAGUUCUUGAGUACUGGAGAGGCAGACGGAAUUCGUAGUGUAGCGGUGAAAUGCGUAGAUAUUAGGAGGAACACCAGUGGCGAAGGCGGUCUGCUGGACAGCAACUGACGCUGAGGCGCGAAAGCGUGGGGAGCAAACAGGAUUAGAUACCCUAGUAGUC
rnacentral:rRNA from 1 species